rnacentral:tRNA from 1 species
GAGGGUAUAUCUCAGCGGUAGAGUACCUGAUUAGCAUGCACGAGGUCCUGGGUUCAAUCCCCAGUAACUCCA